AACUUUUGACAAUGGAUCUCUUGGCUCUCGCAUCGAUAAAGAACGCAGCGAAAUGCGAUAAGUAAUGUGAAUUGCAGAAUUCAGUGAAUCAUCGAAUCUUUGAACGCACCUUGCGCUCCUUGGUAUUCCGAGGAGCAUGCCUGUUUGAGUGUCAUUAAAUUCUCAACCUUCCAGCUUUUAUUAGCUUGGUUAGGCUUGGAUGUGGGGGUUGCAGGCUUCACUUAUGAGGUCAGCUCUCCUUAAAUGCAUUAGCGGAACUUUUGUGGACCGUCUAUUGGUGUGAUAAUUAUCUACGCCGUGGAUGUGAAGCAGCUUUAUAAAGUUCAGCUUCUAACAGUCCAUUGACUUGGACAAUUUUGACAAUUUGACCUCAAAUCAGGUAGGACUACCCGCUGAACUUAAGCAUAUCAAUAAGCGGAGGCU
rnacentral:misc_RNA from 1 species